CAGAAAAGAACAUGUGUAGAUGGCCUCUAUGAAGCUCUUUUGCUUGUUAGCAGCUGGUCAAAGUUAGCAGAAAUGGGAGGACGCGAACUCAACCAGCAAAAGAGAACUGGGCGAUUCCAGGACUCUGCUCUCUCUGUUUUUCCCCCCGUUGAACUGAAAGCAACGCUAGUCCUGAACGGAUGAAUGAGCAGGUAAAUGGCUCAAGGAGAAGAAUGAACAUCUUCUUAAAGAACAACAAAACAGAGAAAGUACAAAAUGAGAAUUUGGGAAGAAAGAAUCUAAUAUAUUUUGAAAGCAUUACAGAAGUCAUCAGAGGAGAAAAAUAA